ACUGUCUCCAUUCUCUCCCUCGCAUCACGCAAGCGCCGCCUCUCCCUCUCUCGCGCCGGCCACCCCAUCGCCGCAGAUCGCGCCCAACCAAAACUUCGCCGCUCGUGGCCAUAUCCCCUCACGGCCUUCUCCACGCUCGAUCCCACUUCCAAUCCCGCCAUCGUUUGCAAACCCUAGCCCGUUCCCCAGAUCAGAUCGAGAUACCAUCGGCGCCCCUUGUCUCCCUCACUCCACGAUGAAGAGAAGCAGUUCUUCUUGCCGACAUGCUCGCUCUCCUUGUAGUGGUCGCGCUCCGGUCCGCACCGCCGGCCGCCGAGCUCGACCGGCUAGAGGACCCUGCCAAGAACGACGGGUCGCUAAUCCUGCUCGUCAACAAGAGCCGUCGAACACAACCCCUCGUGCGGUGGCCGCCGAUGAGCACGCAUGGGAGCCAGCGAACACUACGCCUCCGCCUGGCCUGGGGCUCCCGGACGGAUCAUCAUGGCCUCUAAGACGAAGCGAUGAUGGUGUAACAUCCUGAUCGACACACGGAGGAGCAGCGGCAGUGGCGGAUCUGUCCUCUAUUGCUUAAUGUUUCUUGGAAAUUACUCUACCAAGUGGUCCUUAGAAUAUGACCCUGCAGUAGCUACAACAUGUUAAGGACCAAC